UCAGUAACACGUGGACAACCUACCCUCAGGAGGGGGAUAACCCCGGGAAACUGGGGAUAAUACCCCAUAGACCAGGGAUGCUGGAAUGCCUCCUGGUUCAAAGGUCCGCCGCCUGAGGAUGGGUCUGCGGCCGAUUAGGUUGUUGUUGGGGUAACGGCCCAACAAGCCUUUGAUCGGUACGGGUUGUGAGAGCAAGAGCCCGGAGAUGGAUUCUGAGACACGAAUCCAGGCCCUACGGGGCGCAGCAGGCGCGAAAACUUUACAAUGCGAGAAAUCGUGAUAAGGGAACCCCGAGUGCCCGUAAAUUCGGGCUGUCCGCCAGUGCAAAUAGCUGGUGAAGAAAGGGCCGGGCAAGACCGGUGCCAGCCGCCGCGGUAAUACCGGCGGCUCGAGUGGUGGCCACUAUUACUGGGCUUAAAGCGUCCGUAGCUUGAUUGUUAAGUCUCUUGGGAAAUCCACCGGCUCAA
rnacentral:rRNA from 1 species